rnacentral:tRNA from 1 species
GCCGCCUUAGCUCAGGGGUAGAGCACUUUCUUGGUAAGAAAGAGGCCGUGGGUUCGAGACCCACAGGUGGCUC